UACGAAGGGGGGCUAGCGUUGCUCGGAAUCACUGGGCGUAAAGCGCACGUAGGCGGAUUGCUAAGUCAGGGGUGAAAUCCCAGGGCUCAACCCUGGGACUGCCUUUGAUACUGACGAUCUGGAGAUCGGGAGAGGUUGGUGGAAUUCCGAGUGUAGAGGUGAAAUUCGUAGAUAUUCGGAGGAACACCAGAAGCGAAGGCGGCCAACUGGCCCGAUACUGACGCUGAGGCGCGAAAGCGUGGGGAGCAAACAGG
rnacentral:rRNA from 1 species